rnacentral:rRNA from 1 species
UACGUAUGGAGCAAGCGUUAUCCGGAUUUACUGGGCGUAAAGGGAGCGCAGGCGGUAUGGCAAGUCAGAUGUGAAAACCCAGGGCCCAACCCUGGGACUGCAUUUGAAACUGCCAUACUGGAGUGCCGGAGAGGCAGGCGGAAUUCCUAGUGUAGCGGUGAAAUGCGUAGAUAUUAGGAGGAACACCAGUGGCGAAGGCGGCCUGCUGGACGAUGACUGACGUUGAGGCUCGAAAGCGUGGGGAGCAAACAGG